rnacentral:rRNA from 1 species
UACGUAGGUGGCGAGCGUUGUCCGGAUUUACUGGGCGUAAAGGGAGCGUAGGCGGACUUUUAAGUGAGAUGUGAAAUACCCGGGCUCAACUUGGGUGCUGCAUUUCAAACUGGAAGUCUAGAGUGCAGGAGAGGAGAAUGGAAUUCCUAGUGUAGCGGUGAAAUGCGUAGAGAUUAGGAAGAACACCAGUGGCGGAGGCGAUUCUCUGGACUGUAACUGACGCUGAGGAGCGAAAGCAUGGGUAGCGAACAGGAUUAGAUACCCCGGUA